UAAAUUCUUUUCUUUUUUCUUUCUUUCACACAUUGUGGUAAUCAUGUAUCAACAUUAUUAGCACAAGCUUGCGCUUGUUUCUGCAGAUUUUCAAUUAACAUAACCAGUGUAUUAUCCCCUUUUUGCUCACUGUAUUAUUACAAUAAUACAGUAAGACACUUCUAACUCUGCUGCCAAUACAAUUUUUUCUUUCUCACUAGAUGAAGACUUCUCUGCUCGAGGACCAAAUCAAAAACCAAGCAAUCUCCCUGCCUUCUUGCCCAACACUGGAGUUAUAAUCUCCCUUUUGUCAUUACAAAAUUUUCAGAUUCUGCUUCCAUCUCAGAGAUGCAUUCAGUCUCAACAAAUGGAAAUAAUUCAAAGGUAAUCCCAAAUUUAAAAACAAGGUAAGGUUUUUAUAACUUAUGUAUGCAUAUUCAUUUUCAGGUUGUACCCACUCGUUUGCUCGCUUUUCUGAUGUGUGAUUUUCUAACCUUCAAUUGGAUCUCACUGAAAAUCAAAUCAGAUCCUGAACUUAACAAUGAUAAAUAUGAUUUCUGAAAAUAAACACCGGCUAUUACACCGGAACACAGAUAAAUCCAUUUGAACAAAAUCAAAAACCAUUUGAACAAAUGAAUCAAAACACACCCAAACUGAUUUAAUAGAGGGAAUAAAAAAAUAAAGCUUUGAAAAUCAGUAUCGAGCAGAUCCCCAAAUUAAGAACUAAACAGCCAGAAAAGGCCACGUGUUCCGACCAGGUCAGGAGACCAAAAUUGAUAGAUCCUUCACAAAACCCCAAACAAAAGCAAAGAAAUCCCACAACACAACAUAGCGAAUUACUCCUAUCAUGAUCAGAGAUGGUAGCAUAUUUUCUUCCAUGCAACACCAAUGAAAAAUAUAGCAACAAAUGAUAAGAAAUUAAAACAUGCUAAUAUGAACAAAGGGAAAACAAACCUCCCCAACUAACCCUGAUUACCCCAAAGGAAGUAGAUUGCAGGUAAGUGUUUGUUUGUUUUAAAUCAGAGAAAACCCAUUUCAAGAAUUUCUUAAUUUAGUGUUUUUUUAAAAGUAUAUUAUUGGGUAAUGUAAGAAGAGGAGAGUUUGUCAACCUACUGGGAUCCUUAUGCAUGAUGCAAAGGCAAAUGGGAAGAAUGACCUUAAUGUGAAGAAAUCUAAAAAGAGCACAACAUAUGUAUGUGCUUCGGUUAUAAAGCAAACUACUUCAAGCAAGGUCUGCACAUAUAUAACAUUUCCAUCUAUUGCAUUUCAAACUUUAAAUUUAAUGUUGCAUUAGUCGAUUAUGAUUCUUUUCAAUUUUUCUACUUAUAAACAUUCUACUGUUAACCUCUUCCACAAGAGCCUGCAACAGGUUCAGUGAGAAGAAUCACCAGAGUGAACAAUUCAGGCAUGAAAAGUGAUUCAAAAUCUCAACACAAGCCUCCAACAAUGAAGGGCAGUGAGAAAGGAACAAAAAAUAGCAAGUUACGAAUUUGAAGAAAAGAUAACGAACUUAACAAGGCUUUGAAGGGCAAUAUGAAGAGGGAAGCCUCUGUAGAAAAAAUUGAUAACAAGAAAUGUAAGGUUCUUUCAAGGUUUUUAAUGAAAGAGAAAAGAAUUGUCGAAGGCCUACAACACACAAGAAGAAAGCAGCUGCCAAAAGAAAGCCAACAUAUGAAUUUCGUUGUGAAGAAGUGAAUUUUUCUAUGUCAUCCGAGACUACUUUAAAAUUCUGUGCAACUAUUCUACUGUCUUCCAUGGAUUCCAACAUCUUAUACAUUUAGAAGAACAAGAAAGGCUUCACCUACCAAUAUUGCAUUUAAGACAUGCCAUUUUCUUGAAAUGAUUGUGCAUGUGUUAUAGGUUCUUGGUUUAAAGAAAGGGCAAUCAGAAAUGUUAAUUGUAGAAUUAGCAUGUGGCAAGAGUUCACAUCAAACAAACGAUGUUUAAGUUGUUCAGUUGCAUAUCAAAUUGCUCUCUUUAAUACAGCAAAAUUGAAGAAAAGAGUAUGUAGCUUUAUACUUGUUUCCCUAAUUUGUGUAAAAAAUCCUAAAUACAACUUAAUUUUUCUGGCACUUAAUUUUAUUAUUUUUGCAUAGGUGAAGAACAUGAAGAAGCAGCUGGAAAUUAAAAGAUCCUAGUUGCUGAAAAUCUUAAGCUGCUUCACACAAGAUCACAAUCCUCAACAAAUUUAACCAAAUUGAAACAUAUAUACAUACAUACCUUCUCUAAAUGAUGAACAACAAAUGGUUUUGGCCCUCCACUGUGAAUAGCAUUAUUGCCACGAUUUUUCUUGUUUACUAAGUUUUCACAAGUUCUCACGUGCACCAGAUGCCUCCAUAUAAUUUUAAAAAAGAAAAGACAGACAUCAUGAUAGUGGUCAUAUCUAGCCCAAAAAAUACUUAGCUCGGAAAAUCCAACAUCAAAAACAAUCUUUCUAUGUUGUCCAAAAAUGAAACGCCGUACGCAUAUUCUCAAUUUUUUAAUAAUUCACUAAUGUUCAGUUCGUUCGUUCUAAAGAGACUCAGAGAUUCAAAAGGAACUUAAAAGUUUGAUAAUUUCUGAAAUCUCAUACAACCCCUUUUGUUAAAUCAUGAUGCUUAGUUUUUUAUACAAAAAAAUUUACUAAAAAAACUACUAUUAGUUCUUUAAAAUCACCCCAAUUGUGUCUUUUAAAUCAAAGAUAUUUUUCAGAUAUGAAAUUAGUGAGACACGAAAUGAAUCUAUUAUCUCUCUCUUCAAAAUCUAUGGCUUCACUGAAACCCAAAUUUAAGAAAUAGCCCAGUACUGCUAUCUUUCCGUCCAGACAACACACUUCAACCCAAAUUUGAUUGCUUCAAUUCUUAUGGGGUUUCACCCACUGACCUUGAUAAAAUACUCACUAGAGACCUUGGUAAUAUGAAACACAAUCUUGAUAAUCAAAUUAAACCUUCAUGUGAGUUAUCUUCUAAUACAUAUAUGCACACAACUUGGUUUCAAGCAUUUGCAAAUUCUUAAUUGUAAACACUCUAGCCUCUAUGAGGCAUUUUAUCAAACACCAUAAAGGCGUAAAUUUAAAACUUCAGAUUUGACAAGUGUUUAAGCAAAGUUUAGCCAGAAUUUUUCAUUCUUAUACAUAAUUUUCCAACCAAACAGAGUAGCAUAGCAACGAUUAUACAUACUCAACUCCUGAUUUAAUAACAAUUAUAUAUAUAGCAACAACUAUACCUGAUUUGGUUGUCCAAAAAUCAAAGCUCUCUCUCUUCGGUUAACCCAACUCCUGCUCCUACUGAAACUUCUCUUUUGAUAACUAUAGUUAUCUCCAUGAUUUUAUUUCUUUCUUUUGGAACGAAAUGGAAGGCUGGUUUUGUUUCUUUCUUAAUUUUGAACGAAAAAUGGAAGAGGCAAGAUAAUAUAAAAGGAGCAGGGCUUCAUAAAAGAAUUGACUCAACAUAUUGCAAAUAUAAAC
rnacentral:lncRNA from 1 species